CGCUGGCGGCAGGCCUAACACAUGCAAGUCGGACGGUAACAGGAGAGAAGCUUGCUUUUCUUGCUGACGAGUGGCGGACGGGUGAGUAACGCGUGGGAAUCUACCCUUUAGUUGGGGACAACAUAUGGAAACGUAUGCUAAUACCGAAUAUGCUCUACGGAGUAAAGGUGCCCUCUCCUUGGAAGGUAUCGCUAAAGGAUGAGCCCGCGUUAGAUUAGCUAGUUGGUAGGGUAAAGGCCUACCAAGGCGACGAUCUAUAGCUGGUUUGAGAGGAUGAUCAGCCACACUGGGACUGAGACACGGCCCAGACUCCUACGGGAGGCAGCAGUGGGGAAUAUUGCACAAUGAGGGAAACCUUGAUGCAGCCAUGCCGCGUGUGUGAAGAAGGCCCGAGGGUUGUAAAGCACUUUCAAUUGUGAGGAAGAUUAAGUAGCUAAUACCUGCUUAGUUUGACGUUAACUUUAGAAGAAGCACCGGCUAACUCUGUGCCAGCAGCCGCGGUAAUACAGAGGGUGCAAGCGUUAUUCGGAAUUACUGGGCGUAAAGCGCGCGUAGGCGGACUGUUAAGUCGGUUGUGAAAGCCCUGGGCUCAACCUAGGAACUGCAUCCGAUACUGGCAAUCUAGAGUUUAAGAGAGGGAAGUGGAAUUCCAGGUGUAGCAGUGAAAUGCGUAGAUAUCUGGAGGAACAUCAGUGGCGAAGGCGACUUCCUGGCUUAAAACUGACGCUGAGGUGCGAAAGCUUGGGUAGCGAACGGGAUUAGAUACCCCGGUAGUCCAAGCCGUAAACGAUGUCAACUAGCUGUUGGUCUUAUUAAAAAGAUUAGUAGCGCAGCUAACGCGAUAAGUUGACCGCCUGGGGAGUAC
rnacentral:rRNA from 1 species